rnacentral:rRNA from 3 species
UCAAGAGUACGUGAAACCGUUCAGGGGUAAACCUGAGAAACCCAAAAGUUCGAAUGGAGAGAUUCAUCGUCAGCGAUCCUGGCAAUUGUGCGGUUCGCGAUGUCGGAGACUUCGGUCCCACGGCACGCGUCCGUAUGAUUUAUUUGCCGGGUGUCGUCGUCGUGCACUUCUCCCCUAGUAGGACGUCGCGACCCGUUGGGUGUCGGUCUACGACCCGGGUGGGCGCCCGUCAUGUGUCACGCUUUACGGCGUCAUGUGGCAGACCCCCGGUUGUCUGACCAGCUGCCCGGCGGUACUCGCACGGUAUCGAGUCGCAAUUAUAUUGCGUCCGGCCCGCCGCAAGCGAGGCCAGUGUUCCCGGAUGCACGGACUUAGUGCCGUCACCGGGCCUGGCCAGCUGUUGGCCGGCGGUGUCCUAGGACUGGCUCAUAACAUAUACCGGUCGGCGACGCUACUGCUUUGGGUACUUUCAGGACCCGUCUUGAAA